rnacentral:lncRNA from 1 species
AUGAAGAGGAUGAGCCGGUCGUGCGUGCCAGGAGGAAGACAGUCCUCCCCGUGCGAUAUGAAGAUUAUAAUCUCAGCGGCUUCACUCUCCCAAGGCUGUUUCCUGAAUCCAUGUCACCACAAACACUCCCUCAACAACUGCAACAAUUUUAAGCAGCUUACCAUAGACCAGAAACGGAACUGGAUCAAAGACUGCAACAGAUGCUGCCGCUGUGGAAGGAAUCAUCAAGCUUCAGAGUGCAAUCUGAGAAUGCGCUGCAAAAAGUGUAAUAGCCGUCACCUUCUGGUCCUUCAUGACAUCAAUCUCAGGAGUGAAGACCUCCUAAAGACUACCCCAAAUGAAGGUACUUCUGCUAAUGCCUGCCUCCUCAAUACUAUGAACGAGAUACUUCUCAUUCGUAAGCCUCCUGCCAGUCGAAAGGUUCUUCUGAAGAUUGUCAAGGUCAUUCUUCGAAACGGGGCACACAAGAUAAAAGCUUAUGCCAUCUUAGAUGAUGGAUCGGAGAGGACCAUCCUUUUGCAUAAUGCUGCUCAACAGUUGGGCCUGAAAGGUCAGCCAGAAGAUCUUCCACUUCGCACAGUUAGGCAGGAAUUACAAAUGCUCACUGGUGCAUCAGUGUCAUUUCAUAUCUCCCCCCUGUCUCAGCCCAGCAAACUGUAUCGCAUAAAGGGUGCAUUCACAGCCCAGCAGCUAAGUCUUGCUGAACACACACAUCCGGUUAAGACUUUGAGAGAGAAAUACCACCACCUCAGAGGGCUUCCUUUGAGCCAUUUAGAGUCAGUUCGCCCUGUCCUGCUCAUUGGAUCAGACUAUCCCCACCUCAUUACAGCAGUGGAGCCAAUCCGUCUAGGCCCCCCAGGGGGACCAGCAGCUAUCAAGACUCGUCUCGGAUGGGCUUUGCAAGGUCCUGUACAACACCUGCAACAUGAGGUCACUGAACAACAGUGUCUUUUAACCUCAGUAGCACCACCUGAAACUGAUCUUCUCAGACAAGUGGAGAGACUCUGGCAGAUGGACGUGCUUCCAUGGCAAAGUGAAAAAAUGAGCACAAGAUCCAGACAAGAUCAGGAAGCAGUGAAAAUUCUGGAAAGCAAGACAGUGAGAGUAGAGGUGGAUGGCGUCAAGCGCUAUGCAACCCCACUUUUGCGCGUUAAAAACAUGCCAGACCUUAAGGCUCCCAAAAAUGCUGUUCUCCCACAUCUGCGGGCCAUAGAGAGAAGGCUGGCCAAAGAUCCAGAGCAAGCAGCUGCCUACACAGCAGAAAUUCAGAAACUAGAGCGGGCAGGUUAUGCAGUCAAGGUGGAACUAAAUGUUGAAGAAUGUCUAACCAACACCUGGUACAUUCCCCAUCAUCUGGUCCAACACAACGGGAAGAACAGGGUUGUAUUUAAUUGCUCAUUUCAGUAUCAGGGCCAAAACCUUAACAAGCUCUUGCUCCCUGGUCCUGUGUUAGGCCCAUCUCUUCUUGCAGUGCUGCUCAGGUUCAGAGAGCAUUCCGUUGCUAUCAGCAGUGAUAUAAAGGGGAUGUUCCACCAGAUCAGAUUGCUUCCCGAAGACAGGCCACUUCUGCGAUUCCUCUGGAGGGAUCUAAAUCCACAGGAUCCACCUAACAUUUAUGAAUGGCAGGUUCUCCCCUUUGGCACCACAUGCAGCCCUUGCUGUGCCAUCUUUGCAUUACAAAAACACAUCCUGGACCAUAGCCAACCUGGGGAAGACGUCCGCCAUGCUGUACUGAAGUCUUUCUAUGUUGAUAACUUUCUGCAGAGUUUCACCUCAGUAGAGGCAGGCAAGGGUCUCGUUGACAAACUCCGGAGCUUAUUGGCAGAAGGGGGUUUCGACCUGAGGCAGUGGUCCAGUAACCAACUCUCCACCAUAAGCCAUUUACCUCCUGAGGCCAGAUCUGACAGCACUGAACUUUGGAUUUCACAAGGGCAGAGCAACACCCAAGAAUCUGCCCUGGGACUCCUCUGGAAUCACCAAACAGAUACACUUUCAUAUAAGUACUGUCCCAUACAAAACACUGAGACCACCAUGCGCAGCAUUUACAGAAUCAUAGCAAGUCAGUAUGACCCCCUGGGCUAUCUCAUUCCCUACACUACCAAAGCCAAGCUUAUAGUACAGCGCCUUUGGGAUAAGAAAAGAGACUGGGAUGACCCGCACUUACCUGCAGAUCUUCUACAGACCUGGACAGAGUGGGUGGAGGAGCUGCCUGCCCUACAACACAUUGUCUUUCCAAGGUGUUAUACCAGUCCAAUCAGAGAUACCGACAUGAGUCAGCGAGAGAUACACAUCUUCUGUGAUGCCUCUGAGCGGGCUUAUGGCUCAGUCGCUUAUCUCCGCACAGAGGAUCAAUGUGGGGAGGUAGAGGUGGCCUUCCUCACAGCCAGGUCACGAGUGGCACCCAAAAAACAGCAGUCGAUCCCCCGUCUGGAACUCUGUGCUGCACUGACUGGGGCACAGCUGGCUAAAGUAGUCAGAACAGAACUGAACCUUCCCAUACACCAACUCACUCUGUGGACUGACUCCACCACAGUUCUCACUUGGCUGCAUUCAGACUCUUGCCGAUUCAAAGUGUUUGUUGGAACUAGAGUUGCUGAGAUCCAGGACAUUACAGACCAGCACACAUGGCGUUAUGUUCCUUCAACCUAUAACCCAGCAGAUGACAUAACACGGGGGAAAAGCCUAUGUAAGCUAGGGCCAGAUAGCCAUUGGUACCAAGGGCCAUCCUUUCUCAAAGGUCCUCCAAAUCAGUGGCCAGAAAUCCCACACCCCAUGCCUGCAGACGAAAGUGAGCUUCGUAAAACAGUUCCCUGCCUCCUUACCUGCUUCACAGCCAGCUUGUCAUUCCCUGACUUCAGCCAGUAUAAGACAUUUGAAGAGCUACUGGAGUCCAGGGCCUGUCAUGGGGCGGCAGGCAAUCCAACAGCUGAUGACUACAAGAUGGCGGAAAUCAGUGUCCUACAGCAAGCUCAGGAAGAGUGUUUCCCCUCUGAACUGGAGCAGUUAAAGGCAGAUAAAUCACUUCCCAGAAACAGUCGGUUAAAGGCACUGGCCCCUGAACUGAACCAUGAUACACAGCUAAUCAGGGUAGGAGGUCGCCUUCGCUGUAGCCCUUAUCUAGAUCCUGAUACUGUGCACCCCAUUGUCCUAGACCCAAAACACCCAGUGUCCAAACUGCUCAUACAAAGUUAUGACACUAAACUCCAUCAUCCAGGCCCAGAAAGAGUCUUUGCAGAGCUUCGGCGAAACUACUGGAUUCUUCGCGGCAGAGAGGCAAUCAAACGUUGUCAGAGGACUUGCGUGGAGUGCCAGAAGUGGAGAAGAAACCCUGAAGUCCCAAAAAUGGCAGACCUCCCUCCAGCCAGAUUACGUUUAUUUAAGCCUGCUUUCUACUCAACAGGAAUGGAUUGCUUUGGUCCAUAUACUGUCAAAGUAGGUCGCAGAAAUGAAAAGAAAUGGGGCAUCCUGUUCAAAUGUCUUACUACAAGGGCUGUUUACAUUGACAUCCUUCAUAGCCUUGACUCUGAUUCAUUCCUUAUGGCUCUCAGACGAUUCAUCGCUAGACGAGGCAAGCCAUUCGAGCUAUUAUCGGAUCAAGGGACUAACUUCAAAGGAGGGGAGAGAGAACUGAAGGAAGCAUACGCAGCUAUCGUCCCUGAAUUGCAACAGCAACUGGCAAGCCAGCAAAUACAAUUCCACUUCAAUCCCCCUAAUUCUCCACAUUUUGGUGGCAGCUGGGAAAGAGAGAUUCGCUCCCUUAAACAGGCCUUGAUGACAACACUUGGUGCCCAGUCUGUCACCUUCGAAGUAAUGUACACUGUGCUGGUGGAGAUUGAAGGGAUCUUAAAUUCCAAGCCACUAGGCUACAGUUCAUCUGACAUUUCUGAUCUAGACCCUAUCACACCAAAUUCCCUUCUCAUUGGGCGGCCAGAUUCAUCACUUCCUCCUGUAAUAUACCCUGAAUCUGAACUGAUCAGUCGACGCAGAUGGCGUCAUAGUCAACUCCUUGCCGACCAAUUCUGGAGGCGCUUCAUCAGGUUCUACCUUCCCAGCCUCCAGACCCGCCAGAAGUGGCAAGAUGAGACAUCUGAUCUCCAGGUUGGCACCAUUGUCCUGAUUGUCGACCCCCAACUGCCCAGAGCACUCUGGCCAGUGGGCCAGGUGUCGAAGGUAUUCCCUGGAGUAGACCGCAGAGUAAGAGCAGCAGAAAUUAAAGUUGGAAAGAAGUCAUACACACGCCCAGUGGCACGCCUCAUCCGAUUACCUGCCAUACCAGAUUAA